rnacentral:rRNA from 1 species
GAUGAACGCUGGCGGCGUGCCUAAUACAUGCAAGUCGAGCGAACAGACGAGGAGCUUGCUCCUUUGACGUUAGCGGCGGACGGGUGAGUAACACGUGGGUAACCUACCUAUAAGACUGGGAUAACUUCGGGAAACCGGGGCUAAUACCGGAUAAUAUUUCGAACCGCGUGGUUCGAUAGUGAAAGAUGGCUUUUCUAUCACUUAUAGCUGGACCUGCGCCGUAUGAGAUAGUUGGUAAGGUAACGGCUUACCAAGGCAACGAUACGUAGCCGACCUGAGAGAGGGAUCGGCCACACGGGAACUGAGACACGGUCAAGACUCCUAAGGGAGGCAGCAGUAGGGAAUCUGACGCAAUGGGCGAAAGCCUGACGGAGCAACGCCGCGUGAGUGAUGACGGUCUUCGGAUCGUAAAAAUCUGUUAUUAGGGAAGAACAAACGUGUACGUAACUGUGCACGGAUUGACGGUACCUAAUCAGAAAGCCACGGCUAACUACGUG